CUUUUGGAGAUCCCUCCUUUGGAGUUUUACAGUGAGCCCAGGAUACAGUGUCUUUCUCCAGAGACAGAGGCAAUCUGUGGAAGCAAAUUACCUCUCAAAAUGAAGAGAAUUGUACUGCUAUCCAUGGUGGAGCCGCAAGACUGAGACGGCACUUCUGGCUUCCAUUUGUCCUUAACUUCUAUAUCAGAGAUCUGCAGUGAUGCAUGGGUUUUGUCUGGGUGUUCAAUUCCUCCCUCAUCAAGCCACAAAGGACCUGGCCAUUUCACUCUCUACUACCCAGCCUUCUGGAGGAAGAUGGAUCCACUCUGAUAUUGACAGCUAAGACAUUACACCCAGCCCCUGCGUUGCAGUCUGGUGCCUGAUGUG